GCCCGGCUAGCUCAGUCGGUAGAGCAUGAGACUUUUAAUCUCAGGGUCGUGGGAUUCAAGCCCCACGUUUGGCG